AUGAACGUUGGCGGCGUGGAUUAGGCAUGCAAGUCGAGCGAGAACCCCGCAAGGGGGGACCGCGGCGAAAGGGACAGUAAUGUGUAGAUUAUCUGCCCUCAGGUCCGGGAUAGCUGCGGGAAACUGCAGGUAAUACCGGAUAACAUCUCCGGAUCAAAGGUGUGAUUCCGCCUGAGGAUGAGUCUGCAUCCUAUUAGCUAGUUGGUGGGGUAAUGGCCUACCAAGGCAUUGAUGGGUAGCAGGUGUGAGAGCACGACCUGCGUCAUUGGGACUGAGACACUGCCCAGACACCUACGGGUGGCUGCAGUCGAGAAUCUUCGGCAAUGGGCGCAAGCCUGACCGAGCGACGCCGCGUGUGGGAUGAAGGCCUUCGGGUUGUAAACCACUGUCAGAGGGGAUGAAAUGCAGGUGGGUUCUCCCAUCUGUUUGACAUAGCCUCAGAGGAAGGACGGGCUAAGUUCGUG
rnacentral:rRNA from 1 species